GGAGGGGGGGUUAGCGUUGUUCGGAAUUACUGGGCGUAAAGCGCACGUAGGCGGACUGGGAAAGUUGGGGGGGGUGAAAUCCCAGGGGCUCAACCCUGGGAACUGCCUCCAAAACUAUCAGUCUAGAGUUCGAGAGAGGUGAGUGGGAUUCCGAGUGUAGAGGUGAAAUUCGUAGAUAUUCGGAGGAACACCAGUGGCGAAGGCGGCUCACUGGCUCGAUACUGACGCUGAGGUGCGAAAGUGUGGGGAGCAAACAGGAUUAGAUACCCUGGUAGUCCACACCGUAAACGAUGAAUGCCAGUCGUCGGGUAGCAUGCUAUUCGGUGACACACCUAACGGAUUAAGCAUUCCGCCUGGGGAGUACGGUCGCAAGAUUA
rnacentral:rRNA from 1 species